GUGGGUAUAGCUCAACUGGUCAGAGCACCUGACUGUGGCUCAGGUGGUUGGGAGUUCAAGUCUCCUUACCCACCCCA
rnacentral:tRNA from 1 species